GAUGAACGCUGGCGGCGUGCCUAAUACAUGCAAGUCGAGCGAACAGACGAGGAGCUUGCUCCUCUGACGUUAGCGGCGGACGGGUGAGUAACACGUGGAUAACCUACCUAUAAGACUGGGAUAACUUCGGGAAACCGGAGCUAAUACCGGAUAAUAUAUUGAACCGCAUGGUUCAAUAGUGAAAGACGGUUUUGCUGUCACUUAUAGAUGGAUCCGCGCCGCAUUAGCUAGUUGGUAAGGUAACGGCUUACCAAGGCAACGAUGCGUAGCCGACCUGAGAGGGUGAUCGGCCACACUGGAACUGGGACACGGUCCCAACUCCUAAGGGAGGCAGCAGUAGGGAAUCUUCCGGAAUGGGGGGAAGCCUGGCGGAGCAAAGCCGCGUGAGUGAUGAAGGUCUUCCGAUCCUAAAACCCUGUUAUUAGGGAAGAAAAAAUGUGUAAGUAACUAUGCACGUCUUGACGGUACCUAAUCAGAAAGCCACGGCUAACUACGUG
rnacentral:rRNA from 1 species